rnacentral:rRNA from 1 species
UACGUAGGGGCAAGCGUUGUCCGGAAUCAUUGGGCGUAAAGAGCGUGUAGGCGCCAGAAAAGUCCGCUGUGAAAACUCGAGGCUCAACUUCGAGCUGUCGGUGGAAACUUUCUGGCUAGAGUCCGGAAGAGGAGAAUGGAAUUCCUGGUGUAGCGGUGAAAUGCGCAGAUAUCAGGAAGAACACCCGUGGCGAAGGCGGCUCUCUGGAACGCAACUGACGCUGAGACGCGAAAGCGUGGGGAGCAAACAGG